rnacentral:misc_RNA from 1 species
GAUGAAGAACGCAGCUAAAUGCGAUAAGUAGUGUGAAUUGCAGAAUUCAGUGAAUCAUCGAAUCUUUGAACGCACAUUGCGCCCCUUGGUAUUCCAUGGGGCAUGCCUGUUCGAGCGUCAUUUGUACCUUCAAGCUCUGCUUGGUGUUGGGUGUUUGUCUCGCCUCUGCGUGUAGACUCGCCUCAAAACAAUUGGCAGCCGGCGUAUUGAUUUCGGAGCGCAGUACAUCUCGCGCUUUGCACUCAUAACGACGACGUCCAAAAGUACAUUUUUACACUCUUGACCUCGGAUCAGGUAGGGAUACCCGCUGAACUUAAGCAUAUCAAUAAGCGGAGGA